rnacentral:rRNA from 1 species
CCUACGGGUGGCUGCAGUGGGGAAUAUUGGACAAUGGGGGAAACCCUGAUCCAGCAAUGCCGCGUGUGUGAAGAAGGCCUGCGGGUUGUAAAGCACUUUCGGUUGGGAAGAAAAGUUUGGCGCCAAUACCGCCGAACCUUGACGUUACUGACAGAAGAAGCACCGGCUAACUAUGUGCCAGCAGCCGCGGUAAUACAGAGGGUGCAAGCGUUACUCGGAAUCACCGUGGGUGAUCAGUGAAGAGGUGGUCGAAAGCCCCGGGCUUAACCUGGGAACUGCAUUCGAUACUACAUAGCUAGAGUAUGGUAGAGGGAAGUGGAAUUUCCGGUGUAGCGGUGAAAUGCGUAGAUAUCGGAAGGAACACCAAUGGCGAAGGCAGCUUCCUGGACUAAUACUGACACUGAGGCACGAAAGCGUGGGUAGCAAACAGGAUUAGAUACCCUGGUAGUC